rnacentral:rRNA from 1 species
UACGAAGGGAGCUAGCGUUGUUCGGAAUCACUGGGCGUAAAGCGCACGUAGGCGGAUGUGUCAGUCAGGGGUGAAAUCCCGGAGCUCAACUUCGGAACUGCCUUUGAUACAGCACAUCUGGAGUCCGGAAGAGGUGGGUGGAAUUCCUAGUGUAGAGGUGAAAUUCGUAGAUAUUAGGAAGAACACCGGUGGCGAAGGCGGCAUCCUGGACCGGUAUUGACGCUGAUGCGCGAAAGCCAGGGGAGCAAACGGG